CCCUUAGAUGUCCUGGGCCGCACGCGCGUUACACUGAUGCAUUCAACGAGCUUAUAACCUUGGCCGAGAGGCCUGGGCAAUCUUGUUAACGUGCAUCGUGAUAGGGAUAGAUUAUUGAAAUUAUUAAUCUUGAACGAGGAAUUCCUAGUAAACGCAGAUCAUCAAUCUGCAUUGAUUACGUCCCUGCCCUUUGUACACACCGCCCGUCGCACCUACCGAUUGGAUGGUCCGGUGAAGCCUCGGAAUUGUGGUUCUUGCCGCUUUAUUGUGGCGUGACCGCGAGAACUUGUCUAAACCUUAUCAUCUAGAGGAAGGUGAAGUCGUAACA
rnacentral:rRNA from 1 species